rnacentral:rRNA from 1 species
ACGGAAUUUACAUGAAGCCUAGCGAUUGUAAAUUUAGUGGCGGACGGGUGAGUAACGCGUGGGUAACCUGCCUUGUACUGGGGGACAACAGUUGGAAACGACUGCUAAUACCGCAUAAGCGCACAGCUUCGCAUGAAGCAGUGUGAAAAACUCCGGUGGUACAAGAUGGACCCGCGUCUGAUUAGCUGGUUGGUGAGGUAACGGCCCACCAAGGCGACGAUCAGUAGCUGGCCUGAGAGGGUGAACGGCCACAUUGGGACUGAGACACGGCCCAAACUCCUACGGGAGGCAGCAGUGGGGAAUAUUGCACAAUGGGGGAAACCCUGAUGCAGCAACGCCGCGUGAGUGAAGAAGUAUUUCGGUAUGUAAAGCUCUAUCAGCAGGAAAGAAAAUGACGGUACCUGACUAAGAAGCCCCGGCUAACUACGUGCCAGCAGCCGCGGUAAUACGUAGGGGGCAAGCGUUAUCCGGAUUUACUGGGUGUAAAGGGAGCGUAGACGGUUUUGCAAGUCUGAAGUGAAAGCCCGGGGCUUAACCCCGGGACUGCUUUGGAAACUGUAGGACUAGAGUGCAGGAGAGGUAAGUGGAAUUCCUAGUGUAGCGGUGAAAUGCGUAGAUAUUAG